GGAAGUAAAGCAUGGAAGAUUAAUGACCGCCUACCAAAGACAAAUAGGAAUCAAAUCCUAUUUGUCUUUGGUAGGCGGUCAUUAAUCUUCCAUGCUUUACUUCC